CUAAACGACUCUCGGCAACGGAUAUCUCGGCUCUCGCAUCGAUGAAGAACGUAGCGAAAUGCGAUACUUGGUGUGAAUUGCAGAAUCCCGUGAACCAUCGAGUCUUUGAACGCAAGUUGCGCCCGAAACCAUUCGGUUGAGGGCACGUCUGCCUGGGCGUCACGCA
rnacentral:rRNA from 2 species